UUGCCUUAUGCCUCGCUCGGUUUAAUGAUGCCAUGAUUAAAUCUUGAGCUGGAUACAGUUAUUAUCAGCUUGAUCGUAAGAUUGGGUAUAUAAAUGAAUAAUAAGUUGUAAGAGGUCAGAAAAAUUAAAGGUUUCCUUUGAGUGCGAUGACACCAAUGUUGUAUGACAGGAUGGUGGCAUUGUAAUUAUAAACCUUUACAUUU
rnacentral:snoRNA from 1 species